UACAGAGGUCUCGAGCGUUAGUCGGAAUCACUGGGCUUAAAGCGUGCGUAGGCGGAUGUGCAGGCGUCGUGUGAAAGCCCUCGGCUCAACCGGGGAAUUGCACGGCGAACCGCACGUCUCGAGACAAGUAGGGGCGGUCGGAACGAUAGGUGGAGUGGUGAAAUGCGUUGAUAUCUAUCGGAACGCCAAAGGUGAAGACAGGCCGCUGGGCUUGUUCUGACGCUGAUGCACGAAAGCGUGGGGAGCAAACGGGAUUAGAUACCCCGGUAGUCCACGCCCUAAACAAUGUGCACUAGAUCGAAGGAGGUACUGACGCCUUUUUCGGUCGAAGUAAAAACGUUGAGUGCACCGCCUGGGGAGUACGGUCGCAAGGCUAAA
rnacentral:rRNA from 1 species